rnacentral:rRNA from 1 species
GACAGAGGAUGCAAGCGUUAUCCGGAAUGAUUGGGCGUAAAGCGUCUGUAGGUGGCUUUUUAAGUCCGCCGUCAAAUCCCAGGGCUCAACCCUGGACAGGCGGUGGAAACUACCAAGCUGGAGUACGGUAGGGGCAGAGGGAAUUUCCAGUGGAGCGGUGAAAUGCGUAGAUAUUGGAAAGACCACCAAUGGCGAAGGCACUCUACUGGGCCAUUACUGACACUGAGAGACGAAAGCUAGGGGAGCAAAUGGG